rnacentral:rRNA from 1 species
UCUGUACGCUCACGUACAGGCUGCUGGAAAUACUGCAGAGCUAGGGAGUGGGAGAGGUAGACGGUACUCGGGAGGAAGUGGUAAAAUGCUUUGAUCUCUCGAUGACCACCUGUGGCGAAGGCGGUCUACCAGAACACGUCCGACGGUGAGGGAUGAAAGCUGGGGGAGCAAACCGGAUUAGAUACCCGGGUAGUCCCAGCUGUAAACUAUGCAAACUCAGUGAUGCGUUGGCUUAUGGCCAGCGCAGUGUUGCAGGGAAGCCGUUAAGUUUGCCGCCUGGGAAGUACGUACGCAAGUAUGAAACUUAAAGGAAUUGGCGGGGGAGCACCACAAGGGGUGAAGCCUGCGGUUCAAUUGGAGUCAACGCCAGAAAUCUUACCCGGAGAGACAGCAGAAUGAAGGUCAAGCUGAAGACUUUACCAGGCAAGCUGAGAGGUGGUGCAUGGCCGUCGCCAGCUCGUGCCGUGAGAUGUCCUGUUAAGUCAGGUAACGAGCGAGAUCCCUGCCUCUAGUUGCCACCAUUACUCUCAGGAGUAGUGGGGCGAAUUAGCGGGACCGCCGCAGUUAAUGCGGAGGAAGGAAGGGGCCACGGCAGGUCAGUAUGCCCCGAAAAUCGUCGA